UACGAAGGGUGCAAGCGUUACUCGGAAUUACUGGGCGUAAAGCGUGCGUAGGUGGUUCGUUAAGUCUGAUGUGAAAGCCCUGGGCUUAACCUGGGAAUGGCAUUGGAAACUGGCGACCUAGAGUGCGGUAGAGGGUAGUGGAAUUCCCGGUGUAGCAGUGAAAUGCGUAGAGAUCGGGAGGAACAUCCGUGGCGAAGGCGACUACCUGGACCAGCACUGACACUGAGGCACGAAAGCGUGGGGAGCAAACAGG
rnacentral:rRNA from 1 species